rnacentral:rRNA from 1 species
GACGAACGCUGGCGGCGUGCUUAACACAUGCAAGUCGAACGGAAAGGCCCUGCUUUUGUGGGGUGCUCGAGCGGCGAACGGGUGAGUAACACGUGAGUAACCUGCCCUUGACUUUGGGAUAACUUCAGGAAACUGGGGCUAAUACCGGAUAGGAGCUCCUGCUGCAUGGUGGGGGUUGGAAAGUUUCGGCGGUUGGGGAUGGACUCGCGGCUUAUCAGCUUGUUGGUGGGGUAGUGGCUUACCAAGGCUUUGACGGGUAGCCGGCCUGAGAGGGUGACCGGCCACAUUGGGACUGAGAUACGGCCCAGACUCCUACGGGAGGCAGCAGUGGGGAAUAUUGCACAAUGGGCGGAAGCCUGAUGCAGCAACGCCGCGUGCGGGAUGACGGCCUUCGGGUUGUAAACCGCUUUCGCCUGUGACGAAGCGUGAGUGACGGUAAUGGGUAAAGAAGCACCGGCUAACUACGUGCCAGCAGCCGCGGUGAUACGUAGGGUGCGAGCGUUGUCCGGAUUUAUUGGGCGUAAAGGGCUCGUAGGUGGUUGAUCGCGUCGGAAGUGUAAUCUUGGGGCUUAACCCUGAGCGUGCUUUCGAUACGGGUUGACUUGAGGAAGGUAGGGGAGAAUGGAAUUCCUGGUGGAGCGGUGGAAUGCGCAGAUAUCAGGAGGAACACCAGUGGCGAAGGCGGUUCUCUGGGCCUCUCCUGACGCUGAGGAGCGAAAGCGUGGGGAGCGAACAGGCUUAGAUACCCUGGUAGUCCACGCUGUAAACGGUGGGUACUAGGUGUGGGGUCCAUUCCACGGGUUCCGUGCCGUAGCUAACGCUUUAAGUACCCCGCCUGGGGAGUACGGCCGCAAGGCCAAAACUCAAAGGAAUUGACGGGGCCCCGCACAAGCGGCGGAGCAUGCGGAUUAAUUCGAUGCAACGCGUAGAACCUUACCUGGGUUUGACAUGGAUCGGGAGUGCUCAGAGAUGGGUGUGCCUCUUUUGGGGUCGGUUCACAGGUGGUGCAUGGCUGUCGUCAGCUCGUGUCGUGAGAUGUUGGGUUAAGUCCCGCAACGAGCGCAACCCUUGUUCACUGUUGCCAGCACGUUAUGGUGGGGACUCAGUGGAGACCGCCGGGGUCAACUCGGAGGAAGGUGGGGAUGACGUCAAGUCAUCAUGCCCCUUAUGUCCAGGGCUUCACGCAUGCUACAAUGGCUGGUACAGAGAGUGGCGAGCCUGUGAGGGUGAGCGAAUCUCGGAAAGCCGGUCUCAGUUCGGAUUGGGGUCUGCAACUCGACCUCAUGAAGUCGGAGUCGCUAGUAAUCGCAGAUCAGCAACGCUGCGGUGAAUACGUUCCCGGGGCU